GCCUCCUCCCCAUAAUUAUCCCACCCCUUGCUAACAAUGGGUAAAACCAAGGGAAGGGGGGAAAACAGAACGGACAAGGCAUCCAAAGGGGUUAAACAACACAAAUUCAUAUGACUGCUUUUUAUAAACAUUGUAGAUGUUCCCUUAAAUGCUAUUCAGAACCAACAAUGCCAUUAUAACCACCUGACCGAUGGGCUUGCGAUAUUAACAAAUCCAUACUCACAACAGAAUAAAAUGCCUCUGCAGAGCAUGCUUGUUAGGAAAUAGAACUUGCUGUAAAAGCCAUAUCCUCAUGUACAAGAGACAGGCCUACUGAGAAGUUUGGGAGUAAAAUGCCCCCCAGCCCAAAUAUUACAGUUCAACAUACUGCUAUUGGAUUUCAGUCUGAGCUUUGCCUAUUUUAAAAGAAAAAGAAAACCUGAGAUGAAGGAGGGUGUUGGGACCAGCUGGAAAGAAACUAGCAUAUCACAAGGUCACUUUCGAGGAUGAAUGUUGGAAAGCCAUUAAAGAUGAGAGAGAUGUUAGGAAAACAAUGAUUUUUCUCUAACAUGACAGCAAAAGAAGAUAAUUUAGAAUUCCAUGGCCAUCAUAUGUUUUACAAGUGAGUAUAUAUUAACUUUUAAAUACUUUCUCCCACUUCUGCCCCAUACUUUCAACCUCACUA
rnacentral:lncRNA from 11 species